AUAUUUGCAUUGACGGAAAAAAGUACUUAGUCAUCUCUAUAAAAGCGAACCUAGGGUGGUGGAAGCUAGGGUAUAGGGCACUAAGGAAGGCGUUCCUGAGCAAUCUUUGUGUUUAUUAACACGAUUAAAGAGGCUGUUUUUUGCAGCAAAUAGGGUGGAACCGCGGGUAACUCUCGUCCCUAUG
rnacentral:ncRNA from 1 species